GUACACUUGAAAACCCUAGAUCUGUAUCUCUCUCCUCUCUCUCUCUUACUCUUUUUACUCCAUCAACAUACACUACAGUAGGAAACUUAAGAGCAGAACAUAAACCCAAAUAUGAGGAAGACUGCAAAACCCAGCAACUAAGGAGAACUCAAUCGUCAUUAGAAUCAUCAGGUGGAGUAUCAGUAGGUGGAGAUUCAGGGGCUUUCAGUUUUUCCAUUUCCAUUUGCAGCUUUUCCAUUGCCUGGAGACUUCCCAUUGUCGUUCAUCGCCCUGAGCUUUGCCAUUGGAUCCAUUCUCCUUCUUGUGAAUCGAAGAUACUUUGCAAUUGAAUCCAAUUUUUUCCAUUUUUAAGUAAUAGUGCGAAAAAUAAGGGGAUGUGAAAUUCUUGGUCUCGAGGUCUCAUUUGAUGAACAUGCUCUUGUUCGGCUGAUGAUGAGCAGAUAUAUCAUGAGUUUUCACUCUGUCUAUACACAAAACUGGAAUGGUGGUCGCUGACCAGAAAGCUCUGAAGGAAUCUCUUGGUGUCAAAGUAUCUUCGAUUUACAAAAAGGAGAAUGGAUCUAAUGGCAAAGCUAAGAUGGAAAAACAGCUCCGAACGGCAAUGGGAAGUCUCUAGGCAAUGGAAAUGCCGCAAAUGGAUAUGGAAAUGGAAAUGUAAAACCGAAAGCCCCUGAAUCUCCACCUACUGAUACUCCACCUGAUGAUUCCGAUGAUGAUUGAGUUCUCCUUUGUUGUUGGGUUUGCAGUCUUAUAUUUGGGUUGAUGUUCUUCUUUCUUAUAAGUUUUUUUUUAUUUUUGUUUUGGGUUUGUUAAUGUUAUCCAUUAGUUUUUCUGUUUUGUUCUGGGUUUUCGUCCUCUGCUCCUAUGUUGCCUACUGUUGUGUAGGUUGAUGGACAAUUAUGUUUUCUUUUAUAUAUUUUAAUGAAUCGUCUAAUCCCUCUUUAACUUCUAA